rnacentral:misc_RNA from 1 species
ACCAACCAUUUUAAAUGCGAAGAACUAGUCAUAUCUAAAAGUGUCCGUGUGGCGACGUAAAAAUUUCAAAUUUCAAACUCCAACUGUUGGUUUCGGUCGUGAAAAGUGUCGUUCAGUUCGUGGCUCCCUAACUGUCGAGGAGGAAGUGCCGAUUUCCAAACUAGAUUCGAAUAUUGGACCACAAACUUCGAGAAAAUGCCCAAAGCAGCCGCUCCCGUUACCGACGAAUUGGACAACCUCAGCAACAAUGAACUUCGCUCAAAAUGCGUCCAGUACGGAUUGCCCAACAUUCCGAUUACGGACACAAGUCGUAAGUUGUUGAUAAAGAGGCUCCGAACCGCGAUAGAAGGCGGUCGUGCCGAUAGUCCCGCCAAAGGAAAGUCUCGCAGGGAGACGAUCCACGUCGUAGCGAAAGUCGUUGAACCGGAACGCGAUGCAUCACCCAAGAAGAACACGCGUGGUACCCGUCGGACAAUCGCUACCCCGAGCGAACCUGAGCCGGAGGAACCCACCGUAGAGGUUACUGUUCGCCAAGUCACCAACCGGCGACGCUCUAGGACAACGCCGGCACCAGCUGAGCCGGCUCCCAUUACCACUGGGAAGCGAAAAGCCGAUGCAAUCAUUGAAGAUGAGGAUGAAGACAGCGACGAUGUGCAAAUUGUGCACGACAUUCGGGAGCAGGUGGCGCGGUCCUCUCGAUCGCCAUCCCUGGCCAAGUCUAAAAUGGUUACAACGUCAUAUCAACACGUGAGAGCGGACGAGCCGAUCGUAGAAGAGCCGGCCUACAAGCCACGGGAAACAAUCAUCCCCGUACAACGGGAAUCGGCGUACGCCGCACCUCGGACCUCGAUCCACACGCAAGAACGCGAAUCGACUACUACUUCAUACUCUUCCCGGCCAAUCGCGCAACUGUCUCGUCCUUCACUCUCUACAACAAACACCAGCUACACGUCCAACUCAACCACCAGACGCUACACUACGAGUGGAUAUAAGCCGCAAACCGAAUACAGUUCUAUCAGCAGCAGCAGCACACAUAACUACAAACCCCAGACGACGUCAUACCGCGACGAGGAAGAAAACAGCGAGGACGACGCGGAGGACGAAGUUGAAGCUCCGUUUCUUAGUGACUUUGCCCGUCGGCUUUCUCGCCUGAAAGCUGAGCCACUCAAUGAGAACUUGAGACCGAUGGAGAAGGAAGGCUCGCAGUAUCGUGAGAGCCAGCGUUUCUACACCACCUCGAUCGCCGGACGUCGCGGCAUCAACAACAAGAACUCCUUAGUCUAGCGCAGACUGCCCACCCACUCCAAAUGCAAACCUGACCUCUGAUAUGCUGUUCGGUGCUUUUCCUACUCGCCACCACCCCAUGUCCAAACUCAGGUGCCUUCGAUCAAGAGUCGUCCCCCACAUAUAAUUAGUCUACCUUCCACUAAUAUUCGUUUUAACUGCUUGAUUCUUCCUAAGAUGGUUUUGUUUUAAACUGAGCUUCCUUGCCCAACUUUUCCCUUUUCAUUUCUCAUGAUUAACCAGUUCAGUCUCACUCGUUCGCAUUUUCUUAUGUGUUUGCCUUAUCACGUCUUUAUCUUUUUAUUGCAAUCUAGAGUAAAAAUUGUUUUAGUCAGUUUUCUAGUUCUUUUUUGUAAUCAAGCUUUAUGCAUUUCCAGGGGAAGACUGCGCCUUAGUCGUGUGAUGUACAAUAGAAAAGAUUAGGGCGAGGUCUUUCCCCUGCAUACUUUGAGUACGUAAGUCAAAAAUAUAGUGUUAAGAAUUAAAGUUGUCAUUGUGAACUGUUGUGGCCGCGCAGGACCACAAUACUUGUCUCCCCGGACUGUUUCCACUCUUAAGGUCACUCCGAUAACAAAAUAAAUGCAUGCUGCUCAUUUCAUUUGAGAAAAGUACAAGUUGAGGAGUCUUCCUUUUCCCCACUUUUGUGUUUUGCUUAUGUCAGGCGGGUCCACUUACUCGAAUAUGUUAAGUUGUUAAGAUUUGUAAAAGACUUGUUGAAUGCUUGUAAAUACUCUAAAAGGCGAUUAGAAAUAAAAGGAUAUUUUUACUUAGAACAAGAACAA